rnacentral:piRNA from 1 species
UGCUUUUUAAAGAAGAGGCCGAGCGUU